UAAAGCCUCUAUUGUCAUCAGGUUAAUGUCUACUCAGAGUCUUCACGUUUAAAAUGCAUUUGGUUUUAAAAUGGGAGACAUUUAAUUUGAUCCUUUUCCCAACUCCAGAUCACACUUAAAAUGGUCAGAUGUUUCAGUGGCUCCUGGUUUUCAUGAGUUUGGUCAUUCUGAAGUAGUUUUCAGCCCAUGGCUAUUUUCUAGGAGUCCUUGCCAAAAGUCUCUGAGUAGAUCUUAAACAUUUGUCUCUCCUUUACAAGUGCCACUUUGUUUCCAGUAUAUGCAGGUGAUAGGAUUUAGUAAAUACAAGUUAGCUUAAAAGUAACUGUGACUUUACCAGUAGCUCUCCUUAUUAUGCAGCCUCCUGGUUAGCAGAUCCUAAAGGUUUAGGAUGUUUAGUGCUGUCUUGUGGUGAGAGGAGUUAGAUUUUCCAGGGUUGCUGGCCAGCUUGGCUCUAACCAGUUGGUGAGUUCUAGAUUAUGUAAGAGACCCUGUGAUGGUUUGUAUAUUCUUGGGCCAGGGAGUGGCACCAUUUGGAGGUGUGGCCUUGUUGGAAUAGGUGUGACCUGGUUGGAGUAGGUGUGUCACUGUAGGUGUGAGUUUAAGACCCUCACCCUAGUUGCCUGGAAGUCAGUCUUCCACUAGCAGCCUUUGGAAGAAGAUGUAGAACUCUCAGCUCUGCCUGUGCCAUGCCUGCCUGGAUACUGCUCUGCUCCUACCUGGAUGAUAAUGGACUGAACCUCUGAACCAGUAAGCCAGCCCCAAUUAAAUGUUUUCUUUUUAAUUUUUUUUAUAAGACUUGCCUUGGUCAUGGUGUCUGUUCACAGCAGUAAAACCCUAACUAAGACAGACCCCAUUAUAAAUAAGGUGGAGAGAGUCAGUUAGUGGUGGCACAUACCUUUAAUCCCAGCUCUGGGGAGGCAGAGGCAGUCAGAUCUCUAUGAUUUCAAGACCAGUCUGGUUCCAAGACAUCCAGGGCUACUAAAAGGGAUAUUGUCUAGGACCCCCCACCCCACAAAAAAGGGGAGAAAUAAUUGAGGAAAACACCUGCCAUCAAACCCUGACCUCCAUACAUGUGUGCAUGCAUCACACACACACACACACACAUACACACACACACACGCGCGCGCACGAGUGCACAUCCAUUUAAGACUAGAGAUUUCUCUUGUGGUAUUAUGCUUAUUUUGUAUUGUUGUUGGGCAUAACAGUUUGGAGAGAAACCAAAGAUACACAGGAACCCUGAUAAGAACCAUGAUUUUAUCAAGAUUAUAGUAAUUAUGGAGAGAAAUUCUGGACCGGUCAAUUGGCAUUAUGUAUUUGAUAGUGUUUUUGCCUAAGCAUGGUUUACUGUUUGAGAGGACAGUAUGUCUUGAGUUUUUCUUCUUUUGCUCUCUGACCGUUUUUUUUUUUUAAUGCUGAAAGGAAGAAGCUAUUCUCUGACCCCCAGUUCUGGAAGCUGCCCAGAAGGAGUGGGGACAUGUCUUUCCUGUGUCUCUGCACACACACAUCAAAGGCUCUGCCAUAGAGGCUGUCCAGGUUGUCCUCUGUGGGUAAACAAGUUGGUUGGCAUAUAUGUGAAAACAAGAGCACAUGGACUGUAAGUGAGAGGCCACGGCAUGUCAUUGUGAAUGAAGAGGAUGAAGUCUGCCCUGGGGUUUUGUAGAUGCCUCUUCUGUCUUCAUCUGAUCCUUUGGUCAUUUUCUGAAGAAUGAAUCAGUCAGACAGGACAUCAGAGAGGAAACAUUCCUGAGAGGCUGCUGUUUUUAUCAAGUGUACCACACCAGUCUUCUGAACUGCUUCUGGUCGAUGAUAUCAAAUCCAUAGAACUGGAAAAGAGACCCUGAUUAUAAAACCAAUUAAACACAGCUAUCCGAAGCUUACAAGUUGUUUUAAUAUAAGAAUGUACUACAAUAAUCCAAGUACAAGAUUACGAAGCUUCAACACGACUCGUGGAAAACUUUUAUUUUGUUUUUAUCUUGGCUGCCUUUCCUGUUUAUAUCUCACUGAAAGAUAGAGGGAGUGUCAUCAGUGAACCAAAUCACUGGCUCACAGAGCACUUUCCAUUGUCACGUUUCCCCCAGUGAGCUUCAACAAUGCAAAGCAACGCUGAUUUCUCACCUACUGUGACUAAAGAAGCCUAUUUAAACUGAGAAAGUAGUAACUGUAUCUUGGUAUUACACAGCAACUCACACCUUAACAAAGAUGUCGACAAAACCACUACCUAUAUAAACAGCACCCUUUGCAUUCAUUUGGCAUUAAGAAUUUAAUUCACAAGCAUGUGUCUGUCUACCUUCCAGGUUCAUAGAGUGGCUGGAAGUCCAGCAACGGUGGAUAUUAAGGCAUUCACUUCCACAAACAUUUACUAAGUACCUCUUGUACAAAUGUGUUUAGAAUAGCGAACUUGCUCACCGCUGAGAGACAGGGGAGGGAGAGGAAGCCAUGACUACAAAGCAGUGUGGUCCAGGCAUAAAUCAGGCGACACUCCAAUGAGCAUAAAGAUUACCGAGGGCGGGUACCAAGCUAAUCUUUGCAACUGUGGUCCUUGACAUAGCGUUUUGAAUACACUUAGUACUCAAUUCAUAUGUAUUGAAUUAAUUAAUGAAUGGGUAGGGUGUAGUAAUUAAUCAUCCUCUUGGGACAAUACCUUCCUGUGUCCUCCUAAGUAUCCUUUGCCUGAGACUCGAGUCCUCUUUGCCCAGUGCAAACAGUUCCUGGUCUAGCUAUGCCUGGCCACAGCAUGGCUGCUAGCUCACAUUAUAACUGAUAUUUGGUGACUUGCUAUUCCCUGGAUUUCUUAUUUGCUAGUCUCUGUGCUGCUAAAACUUGGGUCUCACAAGAUGUGGUAAUAAGAAGAAGCAUGGUAAAUGAAGACAGGCAUUUGAGCCCCAUAAAUCUAUUAUCCCAUUAACUCAACUCCCAUUAUUCCUAUUACCAGGAAAGGGGUGUCUAAUUCACAGAAAAACAACUUGUUUCAAGGCAGAAGUCAUAAACGACACAACUUAAAUUUGAAUGUAGGACUCUGUAAUACUAGAUUCUUAUCAUGAAUGCUUGUGCUCUGAUGUCUAUUUAGACUGUUAAGAGAUGGUUUUAAUCAGUAGUAAAAAUCACCCCCCCCCCUUCUUUUGAAAAAGAGGACUGGUUUCCUCCAAAAACACUAUAAAUAAAUUGUUUUAAUUUAUUUAAGCUUUUAAAGUUAUUUUGUGAAUACAGUAAAAUAUGUAGUUUACAGCAGAACAACUGAAUCAACCAUUGAUAAUGCUUUCUAAGCAACGCAUUUCCUCUCAAACUAAGGAAUUUGCUUGUUAUUGUCAGAAUACCUUAAAAUGCAUUUGCCUGUGCUCAGCAGCCCCCCCCGCCCAAGCCCUCCCCAGCCCUGGGCUGCUGUAGUCUGCUGUGGGGUGAUUGGCGGCUUUGUUUCCCUGACUAGACUCAUCAGCAGCACCAGGUGGUAAUAACUAUCCAGCUGAUUUGCACGUGUAAAAAAAAAGAGAGAGAGAUCUGCCUGAGGUCACCACGGAGAUUCAUUUCCCCAUUCUCGACUUCAUAUCUGACCCGAUAUGCUUCUGGAAAAUAAUUAUUCAUGGCAGAAAGUUGCCAUACACCAAUCAUGGUGUCCUGGGAGUCUGUAGAAUCUCUGAUCAAAUAUGCUUUGUUGUGAAGAAUAAAUUGGAAAACAUGAUUUUCACCAAUGUGUAGCACAGUGCAAUUUAUUUAUUGCCUUCUCUACUUCUCUGUUCGCUUCAUCAUUAGAGACCCAAUAAAGAAAAUGAUUUGCCAGUGUGGGGAACGUUAGCCUUGGUGUUCAGCGUUCAGCAGGAUCCCAUGGAUCUAAGGAGGAAGAAGACCCAGAGUCUGUCCAAGUCAACUAGAGUAAAAGAGUGGAGACUUAGAUGACAUGCUGGACAUUGUAAUUCACCAAGUAGAAGUGAUGAAGAAAGGUGUGAGAGCGAAAGGACUUAGCUACUCUUUCUUCACCUCGGAGUCAGCCUUAGUUGGCUUACUGACUAACUCUUCUUCCUGCUUUUAUUUUUAAUAAAAAAUAUGAUGUUAUUAAGAGGAAAUAAAUGUGAGGGUAUUUUCUUUUAAGUUCCCACUACCUCCCAAUGCAGAUGUAGUGACACUCCGUGCUUUCCAAUGUAAGAAUUACUAUCCAGAUGCUGCUACGGAAAGCUUUAAAUGUGACUAGUUCAAAAGGAGAAAUGCUGAAGUGUAAAAUGCACAGCAGACCUCAGGAAUUGUGAAUAAAAAUGUAAAAUAUCCCAUUAAAUUGUUAAGUUAAUUACAGGUGGGAAACUCAAUACUGUAAAUAUAGAGUUUAGUUAAACACAUUGUGAAAAGUGGCCUGGCAUGGUGGUGCAUGCCUUUAACCCCAGUCCUUGAGAGGCAGAGGCUGGCAAAUCUCUAUGAGUUUGAAGCCAGCAUGGUCUACAGACAUUUAGUGAGUUCUGGGUUAGCCUGAGAUACAUGGUGAGACUCUGUUUCAAACAAAGCAGAAGAAGACAAAAUGUACUGUGAAAAUUAAUUCCACUUUUUUUUUGUUACUUAAAAAAACAUGACUCCUAUGAAAUUUAAAGUUGUGAGCUUCAAAUUAUAUUUCUAUUGGUUAGCAUUAUUCAGUCUUUCUCUUAUAGGCAUCCUUGUUUCCGGAGAACCAACUAUUUAUUAAUAUCAGUAUAAUUCUCAAUCAGAAUUAGAACUCAAUACAAAAUACUUCUGAAAAGCAAUUUGAUGAUACCAUAUUAAAAGACCUAAAAGUGUCAAAACCUUUUAUUCAAGAACUGCAUUUCUAGUCAUUUAUUCCUGUGGUUCUGUUUCUAGGCAUUCAUAUUCCAGAGAUGAAAACACAUGUCUACAUAGAAAUUUGUCUAUAAACAUUUAUGGCAACAUCAUUCAUAAAAGGCAAAGUGAAGAAAUAACUCAAAUAACUAUCAACUGACCAAUGGGUAAACAAAUGUGGUGUAUCCACACAAUGGGGAUUUUGUGGUUAUAGGAAGGAAUAAACCACUAAUAUAUGCUGCAAUAGAUAUGGUCCUGGAAAACAUACCAAGUAGAAGAAGCAAAUUAAAAGACCACACUUGGUUCUAUUCAUAUACAGUAUUCAGAGCAAGGAAAUCUCUAGAAACAAAGAACACUAUUGAUCACUUAGUUCUGGUGAGAUCCUCAACUGAGGUGAGGCAUUGAUAGCUAAAGGAUACUAAGUUACUUUUCUGGGAAAUAAUAAUGUUGCAAAAUUGACUAUGGUGCUGGCUACAUGUACAUGUGCACACAUGGGGUAAACAUUCACUUCUGUUCUUUAAAUGGGUUGAUUAUGCAGUGUGUGAACAGUAUUCAAUGAAGCUGUUAAAAGUGAUUACAUUUCUGGGGCCAAAAUUAAGAAAAUUGCCCCAAGUAAAUGAGAAAACCCCCUUUGUGCAUAAGGUACACAUUUCAGCAUUAUGCAUAGUAGCAAAAAAUUAAAAAC